rnacentral:rRNA from 1 species
AUUGAACGCUGGCGGCAUGCUUUACACAUGCAAGUCGAACGGUAACAGGCCGCAAGGUGCUGACGAGUGGCGAACGGGUGAGUAAUGCAUCGGAACGUGCCCAGUCGUGGGGGAUAACUACUCGAAAGAGUAGCUAAUACCGCAUACGAUCUAUGGAUGAAAGCGGGGGACCGUAAGGCCUCGCGCGAUUGGAGCGGCCGAUGUCAGAUUAGGUAGUUGGUGGGGUAAAGGCUCACCAAGCCAACGAUCUGUAGCUGGUCUGAGAGGACAACCAGCCACACUGGGACUGAGACACGGCCCAGACUCCUACGGGAGGCAGCAGUGGGGAAUUUUGGACAAUGGGCGCAAGCCUGAUCCAGCAAUGCCGCGUGCAGGAAGAAGGCCUUCGGGUUGUAAACUGCUUUUGUACAGAACGAAACGGCUCUGGUUAAUACCCGGGGCUAAUGACGGUACCGUAAGAAUAAGCACCGGCUAACUACGUG